GCUGAAAGCUAGCUACAGGCUUAACACAUGAAAGUCGUGGGGAAAUGAGUGGAAAGCUUGCUUUCCUGGUCGACGACCAGCGCACGGGUGAGUAACGCGUAUCCAACCUGCCCCCAUCUAAGGAAUACCCAGGCGAACGUAAGACAAAUACUUUAUACUUUCCUCAGAUGUCUUCUGACGAGGAAUAAAUCUUUAUCGGUAGUAGAUGGGGAUGCGUCUGAUUAGCUUGUGGGCGGGGUAACGGCCCACCAAGGCAACGAUCAGUAGGGGUUCUGAGAGGAAGGUACCCCAAAUUGGAACUGGGACACGGUCCAAACUCCUACGGGAGGCAGCUGUGAGGAAUAUUGGUCAAUGGGCGGAAGCCUGAACCAGCCAAGUAGCGUGCAGGAUGACGGCCAUAAGGGUUGUAAACUGCUUUUAUUCAGGAAUAUUGUUAGCCACGUGUGGUUAUUUGUAGGUACUGUAUGAAUAAGGACCGGCUAAUUCCGUGCCAGCAGCCGCGGUAAUAC
rnacentral:rRNA from 1 species